UGAGUAACACGUAUCCAACCUGCCGUCUACUCUUGGCCAGCCUUCUGAAAGGAAGAUUAAUCCAGGAUGGCAUCAUGAGUUCACAUGUCCGCAUGAUUAAAGGUAUUUUCCGGUAGACGAUGGGGAUGCGUUCCAUUAGAUAGUAGGCGGGGUAACGGCCCACCUAGUCAACGAUGGAUAGGGGUUCUGAGAGGAAGGCCCCCCACAUUGGAACUGAGACACGGUCCAA
rnacentral:rRNA from 1 species